rnacentral:rRNA from 1 species
AACGAACGCUGGCGGCAGGCCUAACACAUGCAAGUCGAACGCACUCUUCGGAGUGAGUGGCAGACGGGUGAGUAACACGUGGGAAUCUACCCGGUGGUACGGAAUAACUCAGGGAAACUU